rnacentral:rRNA from 1 species
UUAAGCGACUAAGCGUACACGGUGGAUGCCCUGGCAGUCAGAGGCGAUGAAGGACGUGCUAAUCUGCGAUAAGCGUCGGUGAGGUGAUAUGAACCGUUAUAACCGGCGAUUUCCGAAUGGGGAAACCCAGUGUGUUUCGACACACUAUCAUUAACUGAAUCCAUAGGUUAAUGAGGCGAACCGGGGGAACUGAAACAUCUAAGUACCCCGAGGAAAAGAAAUCAACCGAGAUUCCCCCAGUAGCGGCGAGCGAACGGGGAGGAGCCCAGAGCCUGAAUCAGUGUGUGUGUUAGUGGAAGCGUCUGGAAAGGCGCGCGAUACAGGGUGACAGCCCCGUACACAAAAAUGCACAUAUUGUGAGCUCGAUGAGUAGGGCGGGACACGUGGUAUCCUGUCUGAAUAUGGGGGGACCAUCCUCCAAGGCUAAAUACUCCUGACUGACCGAUAGUGAACCAGUACCGUGAGGGAAAGGCGAAAAGAACCCCGGCGAGGGGAGUGAAAAAGAACCUGAAACCGUGUACGUACAAGCAGUGGGAGCCUCUUAAUGGGGUGACUGCGUACCUUUUGUAUAAUGGGUCAGCGACUUAUAUUCUGUAGCAAGGUUAACCGAAUAGGGGAGCCGAAGGGAAACCGAGUCUUAACUGGGCGUUAAGUUGCAGGGUAUAGACCCGAAACCCGGUGAUCUAGCCAUGGGCAGGUUGAAGGUUGGGUAACACUAACUGGAGGACCGAACCGACUAAUGUUGAAAAAUUAGCGGAUGACUUGUGGCUGGGGGUGAAAGGCCAAUCAAACCGGGAGAUAGCUGGUUCUCCCCGAAAGCUAUUUAGGUAGCGCCUCGUGAAUUCAUCUCCGGGGGUAGAGCACUGUUUCGGCAAGGGGGUCAUCCCGACUUACCAACCCGAUGCAAACUGCGAAUACCGGAGAAUGUUAUCACGGGAGACACACGGCGGGUGCUAACGUCCGUCGUGAAGAGGGAAACAACCCAGACCGCCAGCUAAGGUCCCAAAGUCAUGGUUAAGUGGGAAACGAUGUGGGAAGGCCCAGACAGCCAGGAUGUUGGCUUAGAAGCAGCCAUCAUUUAAAGAAAGCGUAAUAGCUCACUGGUCGAGUCGGCCUGCGCGGAAGAUGUAACGGGGCUAAACCAUGCACCGAAGCUGCGGCAGCGACACUAUGUGUUGUUGGGUAGGGGAGCGUUCUGUAAGCCUGUGAAGGUGGCCUGUGAGGGUUGCUGGAGGUAUCAGAAGUGCGAAUGCUGACAUAAGUAACGAUAAAGCGGGUGAAAAGCCCGCUCGCCGGAAGACCAAGGGUUCCUGUCCAACGUUAAUCGGGGCAGGGUGAGUCGACCCCUAAGGCGAGGCCGAAAGGCGUAGUCGAUGGGAAACAGGUUAAUAUUCCUGUACUUGGUGUUACUGCGAAGGGGGGACGGAGAAGGCUAUGUUGGCCGGGCGACGGUUGUCCCGGUUUAAGCGUGUAGGCUGGUUUUCCAGGCAAAUCCGGAAAACCAAGGCUGAGGCGUGAUGACGAGGCACUACGGUGCUGAAGCGACAAAUGCCCUGCUUCCAGGAAAAGCCUCUAAGCAUCAGGUAACAUCAAAUCGUACCCCAAACCGACACAGGUGGUCAGGUAGAGAAUACCAAGGCGCUUGAGAGAACUCGGGUGAAGGAACUAGGCAAAAUGGUGCCGUAACUUCGGGAGAAGGCACGCUGAUAUGUAGGUGAAGCGACUUGCUCGUGGAGCUGAAAUCAGUCGAAGAUACCAGCUGGCUGCAACUGUUUAUUAAAAACACAGCACUGUGCAAACACGAAAGUGGACGUAUACGGUGUGACGCCUGCCCGGUGCCGGAAGGUUAAUUGAUGGGGUUAGCGGCAACGCGAAGCUCUUGAUCGAAGCCCCGGUAAACGGCGGCCGUAACUAUAACGGUCCUAAGGUAGCGAAAUUCCUUGUCGGGUAAGUUCCGACCUGCACGAAUGGCGUAAUGAUGGCCAGGCUGUCUCCACCCGAGACUCAGUGAAAUUGAACUCGCUGUGAAGAUGCAGUGUACCCGCGGCAAGACGGAAAGACCCCGUGAACCUUUACUAUAGCUUGACACUGAACAUUGAGCCUUGAUGUGUAGGAUAGGUGGGAGGCUUUGAAGUGUGGACGCCAGUCUGCAUGGAGCCGACCUUGAAAUACCACCCUUUAAUGUUUGAUGUUCUAACGUUGGCCCGUAAUCGGGGUUGCGGACAGUGUCUGGUGGGUAGUUUGACUGGGGCGGUCUCCUCCUAAAGAGUAACGGAGGAGCACGAAGGUUGGCUAAUCCUGGUCGGACAUCAGGAGGUUAGUGCAAUGGCAUAAGCCAGCUUGACUGCGAGCGUGACGGCGCGAGCAGGUGCGAAAGCAGGUCAUAGUGAUCCGGUGGUUCUGAAUGGAAGGGCCAUCGCUCAACGGAUAAAAGGUACUCCGGGGAUAACAGGCUGAUACCGCCCAAGAGUUCAUAUCGACGGCGGUGUUUGGCACCUCGAUGUCGGCUCAUCACAUCCUGGGGCUGAAGUAGGUCCCAAGGGUAUGGCUGUUCGCCAUUUAAAGUGGUACGCGAGCUGGGUUUAGAACGUCGUGAGACAGUUCGGUCCCUAUCUGCCGUGGGCGCUGGAGAACUGAGGGGGGCUGCUCCUAGUACGAGAGGACCGGAGUGGACGCAUCACUGGUGUUCGGGUUGUCAUGCCAAUGGCACUGCCCGGUAGCUAAAUGCGGAAGAGAUAAGUGCUGAAAGCAUCUAAGCACGAAACUUGCCCCGAGAUGAGUUCUCCCUGACUCCUUGAGAGUCCUGAAGGAACGUUGAAGACGACGACGUUGAUAGGCCGGGUGUGUAAGCGCAGCGAUGCGUUGAGCUAACCGGUACUAAUGAACCGUGAGGCUUAACCUU